rnacentral:tRNA from 1 species
GCCUGGGUGGCUCAGUGGUUGGGCGUCUGCCUUUGACUCAGGUCCUGAUUCCAGGAUCUGGGAUCGAGUCCCACAUCAGGCU